rnacentral:rRNA from 1 species
CAGCCGCCACGGGAAUACAGAGGGUGCAAGCGUUAAUCGGAAUUACUGGGCGUAAAGCGCGCGUAGGUGGUUUGUUAAGUUGGAUGUGAAAGCCCCGGGCUCAACCUGGGAACUGCAUCCAAAACUGGCAAGCUAGAGUACGGUAGAGGGUGGUGGAAUUUCCUGUGUAGCGGUGAAAUGCGUAGAUAUAGGAAGGAACACCAGUGGCGAAGGCGACCACCUGGACUGAUACUGACACUGAGGUGCGAAAGCGUGGGGAGCAAACAGGAUUAGAUACCCGGGUAGUCCCUGUCUCUUAUAC